AUUACAUCGAUUGAAAAAAAAAAAUUUUUAGACUUUUGCUACUUUCUGUAUCAUUGUCGGGAGUCAAUGUCAUGUACUUGUUGGUUAAAGUUGUUGAUGGUAUUAUGAAUGAUAACACUUAGGAUGAAAGCUGAUGUGCUGUUGGAUUUAGGCGGCAAAAAUUUUGACGUAAGAUGGCGCUUGAUUAAGUUUAGCACGCUUGUGUUACAGCGAGAGAUGCUGCUCAUGAAUUUGGAUCUUCUGAUGUUUUCAACAAAAGUAGCAGAGUUCAUCACCGGUAAGUGAUAUUAAUUUGUAUAUCUGUUUUAAUUAUAUAUGCGAUUAUGUAUUAUAAUUUUAAGGCCACAUCUUCAGUUCCGUACUUCUUUGUAGAAUACUUUAUUU